rnacentral:rRNA from 2 species
UACUAUAGCUUGACACUGAACAUUGAGCCUUGAUGUGUAGGAUAGGUGGGAGGCUUUGAAGUGUGGACGCCAGUCUGCAUGGAGCCAACCUUGAAAUACCACCCUUUAAUGUUUGAUGUUCUAACGUAGCCCCAUAAUCUGGGGUGCGGACAGUGUCUGGUGGGUAGUUUGACUGGGGCGGUCUCCUCCCAAAGCGUAACGGAGGAGCACGAAGGUUGGCUAAGCAUGGUCGGACAUCAUGCGGUUAGUGCAAAG